rnacentral:rRNA from 1 species
UACGGGGGGGGCAAGCGUUGUUCGGAAUUACUGGGCGUAAAGGGCUCGUAGGCGGCCAACUAAGUCAGACGUGAAAUCCCUCGGCUCAACUGAGGAACUGCACGGGAAACUGUUUGGCUUGAGUUCGGGAGAGGGAAGCGGAAUUCCGGGUGUAGCGGUGAAAUGCGUAGAUAUCCGGAGGAACACCGGUGGCGAAGGCGGCUUCCUGGACCGACACUGACGCUGAGUGAGCGAAAGCCAGGGGAGCAAACGGG